rnacentral:rRNA from 1 species
AGAGUUUGAUCCUGGCUCAGAAUGAACGUUGGCGGCGUGGAUUAGGCAUGCAAGUCGGACGGGGCCGCAAGGUACCCGUGGCGCAAGGGUGAGUAAGGCGACGGUAACCUACCCCGGGGACGGGUAUAGCCGCGGGAAACCGCGGGUAAUCCCCGGCACGGCAGGCCCCCGGCAUCGAGGGGCUGUCAAAGGUGCAAUUCCGCCCCGGGACGGGCCGUCGUGGUAUUAGGUUGUUGGCGGGGUAACGGCCCACCAAGCCUUUGAUGCCUACCGGGCGUGCGAGCGUGGCCCGGCACACUGGGACUGAGACACUGCCCAGACUCCUACGGGAGGCUGCAGUCGAGAAUCUUCGGCAAUGGGCGCAAGCCCGACCGAGCGACGCCGCGUGGAGGACGAAGGCCUUCGGGUUGUAAACUCCUGUCGGGGGGGAACAAGGGCCGGUGCAGAGCCGGCCUUGAGUGAUCCCCGGAGGAAGCACGGGCUAAGUUCGUGCCAGCAGCCGCGGUAAGACGAACCGUGCGAACGUUAUUCGGAAUCACUGGGCUUAAAGCGCGUGUAGGCGGGCCAUCACGUCGGUCGCUGAAAGCCCCCGGCUCAACCGGGGAACGGGCGCCGAUACGAGUGGCCUGGAGGGGGGUAGGGGGACCUGGAACUUCCGGUGGAGCGGUGAAAUGCGUUGAGAUCGGAAGGAACGCCCGUGGCGAAAGCGAGGUCCUGGACCCCAUCUGACGCUGAGACGCGAAAGCCAGGGGAGCGAACGGGAUUAGAUACCCUAGUAGUCC